rnacentral:rRNA from 1 species
ACAUGCAGUCGAGCGGGGGAGAUUGCUUCGGUAAUUGACCUAGCGGCGGAGGGGUGAGUAAUACUUAGGAAUCUGCCUAUUAAUGGGGGACAACAUCUCGAAAGGGAUGCUAAUACCGCAUACGCCCUACGGGGGAAAGCAGGGGAUCACUUGUGACCUUGCGUUAAUAGAUGAGCCUAAGUCGGAUUAGCUAGUUGGUGGGGUAAAGGCCUACCAAGGCGACGAUCUGUAGCGGGUCUGAGAGGAUGAUCCGCCACACUGGGACUGAGACACGGCCCAGACUCCUACGGGAGGCAGCAGUGGGGAAUAUUGGACAAUGGGGGGAACCCUGAUCCAGCCAUGCCGCGUGUGUGAAGAAGGCCUUAUGGUUGUAAAGCACUUUAAGCGAGGAGGAGGCUCUUUUGGUUAAUACCCAAGAUGAGUGGACGUUACUCGCAGAAUAAGCACCGGCUAACUCUG